AUUGAACGCUGGCGGCAGGCCUAACACAUGCAAGUCGAGCGGACGGAGGGAGCUUGCUCCUGGCUUCAGCGGCGGACGGGUGAGUAAUGCCUAGGAAUCUGCCUUGUCGAGGGGGCUAACGUCCGGAAACGGGCGCUAAUACCACAUCCGUCCUGAUGUUGAACGUGGGGGAUCUUCGGACCUCGAGCUAUCAGCUGACACUAGGUCGGAUUAGCUAGUUGGUGUGGUAAAGGCUUACCAAGGCGACGAUCCGUAACUGGUCUGAGAGGAUGAUCAGUCACACUGGAACUGAGACACGGUCCAGACUCCUACGGGAGGCAGCAGUGGGGAAUAUUGGACAAUGGGCGAAAGCCUGAUCCAGCCAUGCCGCGUGUGUGAUGAAGGUCUUCGGAUUGUAAAGCACUUUUAGUAGGGAAGAAGGGCAGUAUGAGUAUAUGUGGCUGUUUUGACGUUACCAACAGAGUAAGCACCGGCUAACUUCGUG
rnacentral:rRNA from 1 species